GCAGAUUUGAUAGAAGGUUUCAUCCCCGGGCGCCGCCUCCUGCCACAGCCCCCCCCCCCCCCCCCCCUUCUCUCUCUCUCACACACACACACACAAACAGAAAAAAAAAACUUCCUCUGAGAUUUAGAUCAAGCUCAACCCCCUCGUUGGCUCAUCCCAUACCGUACCCCUAGUCUCACGAUUCGGUUCCCCGGACAUCCUUUCCUGCCGACGCGUCGAUCCGCUCCGCUACUCUUCUCAGCCUCCCCUCUCUGCCAUGGAUGGAUAGAUCUUUACCGGCGCCCUUGGACCUACACUUCCAUAGAAGAGAAGCAUGCCAGCCGGUUUCUCUCAUCUCCAUGGUGUUCUCGGCGAUCUGUAUAUAUCAGCCUGCGUCCUCGUCGUCAGUCAAAAUACCCUUCUGGCGCGGCGUGGCCAGUCGAUGGCAUGGCGUGGCGGGGCGUCGCGCGGUGGCCGGGCUACCUCCCCCUGGCUGUCCUUCUCGCCCGCCCGGCGCCUCAAUCCGCUACUUCCACCAGACUUAUAUCUGCCUCUCCUUUUCCAGCGAUGGUUCUCAUCUCAAGCUAGCUUCUAUCCAUGGCCGUGACCGUAAAGUGUGGCCUGCCAGCAAGGGGUCAAUAAAUAAAAGCCAGGCGGCUUGGGCGACGCCUUACCGCGGCUGAGCGUGCGUUCCUCCUACGCAUCGGGCCGCUCCGUGACAAUGGUAGAGAGUAAUUUGGGUGUAGAGGGUACUUUGCAAAGAGAGUAAGCUGAUCAGGGUGGUACCUUUUAAAGGGUUCUCUUUGAUUUAUAGGAAACUUGGAGGAUUUUAUUGCUAAGGAAUUUUCCUAGUUUCCAAUUUUAUAGGAAACAUGCAAACUUAUUUGAUUCGUAGGAUUUAAAACCACUUUGCAUGUUACUGCUAUGUUUCUUUUAUUUGUACAUGUACGACAAGCAAGUUUUCUCAAAAUAUCUUUACAUUUGGACUCGCAAAACCUAAUUAAUCAUUGCAUGUUUAUCUUUUUUUUUAGGAAAAUCAUUUUAAUGUUGUCAUUCUAUUGGCUGAGGCAAGUUGGAGAAGAGAAAAGAUUGAAGAAUGACUAAAUAGAUGGUAAAACUAAUUGCAUAGAGAAUGUAAGAAGACCAAACACCAACUUAUCACUCUAGCUUAUUUGGUCCGAAAAUGGCUGCAUGUACAAAUAUUUAACGGAAGGAAUAAUUUCAAAGAAAAAUUUCCAUGAGAUUCAACCUCAUGGAAAAUUUCUUUGUUUCUAUAUCGACUGUGGCUAGCACCUAAUCCUUCAAAUAAAUUGUUGUAUUUUUUUUUCAUUUCUAUUGCAUAUUACGGGGUUUGUAUUCCCGUAGGAUUCAACAUGGUAUGACAUUCGAUUUCUAUGUUUUUAAUGUUCCUAUGUUUUUUGAACCAUGCGAAUCAAGGGGGCCCUAAAGAUUUGGUGGUAUAUAUCUACUUGUUUGGUUUGGUUAAAGUGUGGCUGUGACUUCUGGCUUGUAAGCCAAAAAAACAUCUAUUCAGAUUCUUUUGGUUUUCCCUUUUUGACUUUUGACUAGAUAUUGUUACACGAUGGUACAAGCAAAAAGCCAGAAUCAAAACACCUAAAUAGGCACUUAUAGGCUUAUAAGCUAAAUAUCGAAAGCCACAAGUUCAACCCAACUUUACGGCUGGUACUGUUGUCACCUUUUUUAAUGUUUUAUAUCUAGCUUUCUUUAGAUUUUCAGCUUUUAGUCUCAGUACUCCUUCUGAUUGUAAAUUUUUGACUCAAAUUUGCUCAAAUAUGGAUGUAUAUAUUCUUAAAAAGCGUCUAGAUACAUAUAAUAUUUCGACAACAAUUUAAGACCACAUUUUUUUGGUUAUCGUUCCUUAAUUCUAUUUCUUGUACCCUCGCCGCAGCCGGUUACUAUCUAGACAGUGUUCAGCGUCCACCUGCCAUUCCAAUGUGCCAUGUCCUGGUAGCGGUGGCAGAUCUGCCUCUAUCCGGGGACGACGAGGAUGGGAGAUAUGUCGAUGAAUGCAAAUGACGUUUUUUGGUUGUACAGUAAGUGCACAUAUAUACGAGAAAGCGGAUUGUUUGUCGGAUGUAGAUCCUAAUAUAGGCUUAUUGUCUACAAAAUAAAUCUUGGGUCGAGAUUUACCAAGCUAGAACCCUCUAUAGUUUGGCUGAAAUCCUGGACAAGUUCAUUCGUGCCUUUCUUGGUUGACUCUUCUACCCCAAUGGAUAUGUACUGCUUGAAUAAGCUGUAUCUUUUAUCUCGCCAUCAUAAUGGCAUCUGUACAUUAACUUUCCCCUCCAUCCUAUGACACUCGAAGAGCAAUAACAGUGAUUCUUUUUUUAAAUUAGUAGGAGAUGGUUGUCUGCAAGGCCCAAGUGACGACAGUGAGCCUGAACAAAAGGAACUUGUUGCAACAACGAGCUCAUGGACAUAUGUCACAUAUCUACUGCGCCCACCCAAUUGAUGCUAGGCACCUGGGCUACAUUAGCUGUAUGCCCCCCCCCCCCCCCCCCCCGGGUUCCACUCCCUGGCCCGUUGGUGAUUUUGUUCCCCCUGCUACUGUCCCUUCCUUGCUCGGCCGAGUCCUCCACUCCUCCCUGGCGGCGCGUUUGAUAUUGCCCUCUCCGCACUUGCUGUUCCUCCCGGCGAAUCUGCAGUUCCUGUCUGGCCUCCGCACUUGAGUUCCUCCCCGGCGAAUCUGCUGUUCCUUAGCCUCUGCAACCUGAAGGUUAGUUCUGCUUCCCCGGCGAAUCUGCUGUUCCUCUAGCCUCUGCAACCUGAAGAUGGCCCCAAGGAGGCACGAUCGCGGGCUCGUAAAAGCUAAGAAGGAAGCCAUGGCUGCAGCAAGAUCGAACGUAAACACCAUCCGUAUCCGCCCAUUCGAGGACAUUCCCAGGUACCCCGAGGCCAUUCCGAACGACCUCACAGCAGAACAAGCUGCUCAACUUCAUCUGCCCGCAGAUUCCAAGGAACAAAACUUAACUAAUCCUUGGUUGCCUAGUGACGUGACUGCGAUUCAGUUGCAGAAUUUAUAUAGGCAGGUCCGCGCAAGAUUCAAGCAAGUGCAAACUUUCUCUUACCCAGGCAAUUCUAUGGAAGAUUCGAGUGUACCUGUCACAACUCCUUCACACGAGAAGAUUACUUACCAUAUCAUCACAUCGAGGGAUGUCCGCCCUAAAGUUGGACGUGAUCAUUGUGUACCUGCCGAAGGUCGCAAAUACGAUGGGCCAGCAGUCACUAUUCAACUUCUUAAAGAAGAAUCUGAUAAUUAUAUUACCGCAUGGUCUGUGUUGAGGAAUGGUGGUAAUGCUAGGUGGUUUGCGUUUCAUGACAAUGUGACGGAUCUUGAUCCUCAGAUUUUUGGGGAUGUGACAGUAGUCAAAUACAGUGGCGGCUACACUAGCUUGUAUGAACCUAGCUUUGUUCAUUCUUUUUAGGUUUCUUAUUAAAUCAUGUCUGUUAUUAUUUAUCCAAGUUCUUUCUUACUCUUGACAGGCAUGAUGUCAAUAUAAGUAGACACACACUACCUAGGGCCAUUGACUUCCUUGUGAAUUUCGAUCCUGAUGCGCUGACUACAAAUAUUGGAAUUAUUAUCUUCCA